rnacentral:lncRNA from 1 species
UUAACUCAUUGAUUCAUCAAAUACUUACUGAAACCUAUUACAUUCCAGACGCUGUUCUAUGUACUGUCGAUUAAGCAGGGACAAACAAAACCCUUAUGUCUUUGAUUUAUAUGGCCUAGAAUAUGGUUUAUCUUGGUAAAUGUUUCAGGUGCACUUGAAAAGAAUGUCUGUUUUGCUGUUUUGGGGUGGAGUGUUCCGUAAGUGUUCAAUUGUUCUCUGUCUUUUCUGGUUUUCUGUUGACUCGUUCCAUUGAUUACAGAGAAGGAUGUGGUGAAGCCUCCAACUAUAUUUGUGGAUUUGCCUAUUUGUACUUUCACUUUUAUCAGUUUUUGCUACAUGUAUUUCGAGGUUCUGAUGUUAGUUUUUGUCAGCUAAGAAGCAUUUCUGGUCUUCACUGAGCCAUAAUUUCAUCAUCUUUAAAGUGGAGUUUUCAGGGACUUGGUUAUACUCCAGGAACCAGUGAUGAUAUUGGCUCCUGAUAUCCAGGAAGCUUUGAAGGCCCUGAGACCAGUAACUGGGAUGUUCAGACAUGUUAGAAGCUAGAAGAUUAUGGAAGGGAGACUUCAACAUUCUGAAUGAAAUGAUUCCUGAUGUGGAAUGUCAUAACCAAUGAAAUCAUCAGUCAGAGAGGUUUGCUCUGCCAAGGGAUGUAGUUCCUUUAAAGAAGGGAGAAAACCAAUAAAGAGGAAAAUAUGGAUACAGAAAACUGGGAAUCAAAGAGAGGUGAAGGGGAUCCUAAUGAUGACUUGAAACAGGAAUUAAAAGAAAAUAAAGAACAUGUAAGCAAAAACUCAGUUGUAUGUAAGAAAAC